GGCAAUGGCAGGCUUUAAGCCCCUCUCCCUCCCGGCUCGCCCGCAGCCUUCCUGAGGGGGUGAAGCAGCUCUGUCGCCUCGCCAUCGCCGCCUCUUGGAGGCAGUUCAUCACCGCCGUCGCCUGAGGAUAAGGGGAAGAAGGAGGACAAAGAAGAAAGUGUUUGAAAACCCUCAACUGGGAAAAGAAAAACACUUCCCCUUGAAGACCAACAGAUGUCUUUGCCGAU